rnacentral:lncRNA from 1 species
AACAAGCAGCAAUAGAUAGAGGAAGGACUUAUCUUUGCAUCGUACCACCAAAGUGAGUUUCAUCUCAUCUCUCCAAUGCCGCCGUCUCUCGUCAGAUGGAGGGUUAGGCUAAUAGCUUGGUACAACCAUUGAUGAUAGAGACUCCUCCACCAACCUAGCCAGCACUGGUCAUGGUGGAUUAGUUCAACAUGCUCUUCUAACAGGUCCAGAGUCUGAUGGUCGCCAUCCAAACUAU